AAACUGGGGAUAAUACUGGAUAGGCAAUUAUUCCUGUAAUGGUUUUUUGUUUAAAUGUUUUUUCGCCUAAGGAUGAGUCUGCGGCCGAUUAGGUAGUUGGUUAGGUAAUGGCUUACCAAGCCGUUGAUCGGUACGGGUUGUGAGAGCAAGAGCCCGGAGAUGGAACCUGAGACAAGGUUCCAGGCCCUACGGGGUGCAGCAGGCGCGAAACCUCCGCAAUGUGAGAAAUCGCGACGGGGGGAUCCCAAGUGCCAUUCUUAACGGGAUGGCUUUUCAUUAGUGUAAAGAGCUUUUGGAAUAAGAGCUGGGCAAGACCGGUGCCAGCCGCCGCGGUAACACCGGCAGCUCUAGUGGUAGCAAUUUUUAUUGGGCCUAAAGCGUCCGUAGCCGGUUUAAUAAGUCUCUGGUGAAAUCCUGCAGCUUAACUGUGGGAAUUGCUGGAGAUACUAUUAGACUUGAGACCGGGAGAGGUUAGAGGUACUCCCAGGGUAGAGGUGAAAUUCUGUAAUCCUGGGAGGACCGCCUGUUGCGAAGGCGUCUAACUGGAACGGUUCUGACGGUGAGGGACGAAAGUUAGGGGCGCGAACCGGAUUAGAUACCCGGGUAGUCCUAACUGUAAACGAUGCGGACUUGGUGUUGGGGUGGCUUUGAGCUGCUUCAGUGCCGAAGGGAAGCUGUUAAGUCCGCCGCCUGGGAAGUACGGUCGCAAGACUGAAACUUAA
rnacentral:rRNA from 1 species